rnacentral:rRNA from 1 species
GACGAACGCUGGCGGCGUGCUUAACACAUGCAAGUCGAACGGAAAGGCCCUGCUUUUGUGGGGUGCUCGAGUGGCGAACGGGUGAGUAACACGUGAGUAACCUGCCCUUGACUUUGGGAUAACUUCAGGAAACUGGGGCUAAUACCGGAUAGGAGCUCCUGCUGCCUGGUGGGGGUUGGAAAGUUUCGGCGGUUGGGGAUGGACUCGCGGCUUAUCAGCUUGUUGGUGGGGUAGUGGCUUACCAAGGCUUUGACGGGUAGCCGGCCUGAGAGGGUGACCGGCCACAUUGGGACUGAGAUACGACCCAGACUCCUACGGGAGGCAGCAGUGGGGAAUAUUGCACAAUGGGCGGAAGCCUGAUGCAGCAACGCCGCGUGCGGGAUGACGGCCUUCGGGUUGUAAACCGCUUUCGCCUGUGACGAAGCGUGAGUGACGGUAAUGGGUAAAGAAGCACCGGCUAACUACGUG